CCGAGUUUACAACUCCCAAACCCCUGUGAACAUACCUUUAUGUUGCCUCGGCGGAUCAGCCCGCGCCCCGUAAAACGGGACGGCCCGCCGCAGGAAACCCUAAGCUCUGUUUUUAGUGGAACUUCUGAGUAUAAAAAACAAAUAAAUCA
rnacentral:misc_RNA from 1 species